rnacentral:rRNA from 1 species
CCUACGGGCUGCACCAGUAGGGAAUAUUGGACAAUGGGCGCGAGCCUGACCCAGCCAUGCCGCGUGACGGAUGAAGGCCUUCUGGGUUGUAAACGUCUUUUGACCGGGAAGAAAAAGCCCUUGCGAGGGAAAUCGACGGUACCGGUUGAAUAAGCACCGGCUAACUCCGUGCCAGCAGCCGCGGUAAUACGGAGGGUGCGAGCGUUGUCCGGAUUUAUUGGGUUUAAAGGGUGCGUAGGUGGCCCUGCAAGUCCGUGGUGAAAGCCUGCUGCUCAACAGCAGAACUGCCAUGGAUACUACAGGGCUUGAGUCCAGACGAGGUUGGCGGAAUGGAUGGUGUAGCUGUGAAACGCAUAGAUACCAUCCAGAACCCCGAUUGCGUAGGCAGCUGACUAGGCUGGUACUGACUCUGAGGCACGAAAGCGUGGGGAGCGAACAGGAUUAGAUACCCUCGUAGUC